rnacentral:rRNA from 1 species
AAACUGCGAAUGGCUCAUUAAAUCAGUUAUCGUUUAUUUGAUAGUACCUUACUACAUGGCUAACUGUGGUAAUUCUAGAGCUAAUACAUGCAAAAAACCCUGACUUACGAAAGGGUGUAUUUAUUAGAUAAAAAACCAAUGCCCUUUGGGCUUUUUGGUGAAUCAUAAUAACUAAACGAAUCGCAUGGCCUUGUGCCGGCGAUGGUUCAUUCAAAUUUCUGCCCUAUCAACUUUCGAUUGGUGAGUAGUGUUCACCAAUGGUGUCGACGGGUAACGAAGAAUUAGGGUUCGAUCUCGGAGAGGACGCCUGAGAAACGGCGUGCACAUCCAAGGAAGGCAGCAGGCGCGCAAAUUACCCAAUCCCAAUUCGGGGAGGUAGUGACAAUAAAUACUGAUGCAGGGCUCUUUUGGGUCUUGCAAUUGGAAUGAGUACAAUUUAAACCCCUUAACGAGGAACAAUUGGAGGGCAAGUCUGGUGCCAGCAGCCGCGGUAAUUCCAGCUCCAAUAGCGUAUAUUAAAGUUGUUGCAGUUAAAAAGCUCGUAGUUGAAACUUGGGUCUGGCUGGCCGGUCCGCCUCACCGCGUGUACUGGACUGGCCGGACCUUUCCUUCUGGGGAAGCUCAUGGUCUUUAUUGACUGUGUAGGGGAACCAGGACUUUUACUUUGAAAAAAUUAGAGUGUUCAAAGCAGGCCUUUGCUCGAAUACAUUAGCAUGGAAUAAUGGAAUAGGACGGCCCUCCUAUUUUGUUGGUUUCUAGGAGAGCCGUAAUGAUUAAUAGGGACAGUCGGGGGCAUCAGUAUUCAAUUGUCAGAGGUGAAAUUCUUGGAUUUAUUGAAGACUAACUACUGCGAAAGCAUUUGCCAAGGAUGUUUUCAUUAAUCAGUGAACGAAAGUUAGGGGAUCGAAGACGAUCAGAUACCGUCGUAGUCUUAACCAUAAACUAUGUCAACUAGGGAUCGGUCGAUGUUAUUUUUUUGACUCGAUCGGCACCUUACGAGAAAUCAAAGUGUUUGGAUC